rnacentral:rRNA from 1 species
AACGAACGCUGGCGGCAGGCUUAACACAUGCAAGUCGAACGCAUCCUUCGGGGUGAGUGGCAGACGGGUGAGUAACGCGUGGGAACGUGCCCUUCAGUUCGGGAUAACCCAGGGAAACUUGGGCUAAUACCGGAUACGUGCGAGAGCAGAAAGAUUUAUCGCUGAAGGAUCGGCCCGCGUCUGAUUAGCUAGUUGGUGGGGUAAUGGCCCACCAAGGCGACGAUCAGUAGCUGGUCUGAGAGGAUGAUCAGCCACAUUGGGACUGAGACACGGCCCAAACUCCUACGGGAGGCAGCGGUGGGGAAUAUUGGACAAUGGGCGAAAGCCUGAUCCAGCCAUGCCGCGUGAGUGAUGAAGGCCUUAGGGUUGUAAAGCUCUUUCGUCCGGGACGAUAAUGACGGUACCGGAGGAAGAAGCCCCGGCUAACUUCGUGCCAGCAGCCGCCGUAA